rnacentral:rRNA from 1 species
GGGUGCAGCAGGCGCGAAAACUUUGCAAUAAGCGAAAGCUUGACAGGGCUAUCCCGAGUGCCAUCCGCUGAGGAAGGCUUUUACCCAGUCUAGAACGCUGGGGGAAUAAGGAGAGGGCAAGUCUGGUGUCAGCCGCCGCGGUAAUACCAGCUCUCCGAGUGGUGUGGAUGUUUAUUGGGCCUAAAGCAUCCGUAGCUGGCUAGGUCAGUCCCUUGUUAAAUCCACCGAAUUAAUCGUUGGAUUGCGGGGGAUACUGCUUGGCUAGGGGACGAGAGAGGCAGACGGUAUUUUCGGGGUAGGGGUGAAAUCCUAUAAUCCCGGGAAGACCACCAGUGGCGAAGGCUGUCUGCUAGAACGCGCCCGACGGUGAGGGAUGAAAGCUGGGGGAGCGAACCGGAUUAGAUACCCGGGUAGUCCCAGCUGUAAACGAUGCAGACUAGGUGUUUGGACGGCCACGUGCCGUUCUAGUGCCGCAGGGAAGCUGUUAAGUCUGCCGCCUGGGGAGUACGAUCGCAAGAUUGAAACUUAAAGGAAUUGGCGGGGGAGCAC